rnacentral:rRNA from 1 species
UACGUAGGGUGCAAGCGUUGUCCGGAAUUAUUGGGCGUAAAGAGCUCGUAGGCGGCUUGUCACGUCGACUGUGAAAACCCGGGGCUCAACUCCGGGCCUGCAGUCGAUACGGGCUGGCUUGAGUGCGGUAGGGGAGACUGGAAUUCCUGGUGUAGCGGUGAAAUGCGCAGAUAUCAGGAGGAACACCGGUGGCGAAGGCGGAUCUCUGGGCCUUACCUGACGCUCAGGCGCGAAAGCUAGGGGAGCGAACUGG